AGGUGUUGGAGACUGAUUUCUUAGAAGCUUCCAUGGACUUCUGGGGACUGAAUUGUUGGCUUUCCCAUGCUCUUUGUGUCUUAGUGAACAUCUCCCUCAAAAGCUGCUAUAUUGUAUAGUUUCAUGUACAUGAAGUCUCUGUCAGUCUCUACCCAGUUUUCCAAUGCUGGAGACUGAACCAGAGCCUUGGGCAUGCUAGGAAAUUCCAAACUCUGCAGACUGAAGUACCUACAAUCUUGUCCUCAGAAGCCUUGACAUGAAACAGCAAACUCAAGAAGCAGUUACGCAGCAAGCGGCUUUUUACCAGAAUGUAAGAAAGAUAUCAUGUACGAGAUAGAAAGGGAACCCUUUGUUAAUAUAGAAAAAUGAGAAAAAAACAACUGCUGAUUUAUCAGAUAGAUACGUGUUUCUAUCUGUGGUCAUUAAACACGACAACUGAUUCAAUUAAAUAAAGCAUACAUGCUAGAUUGCCUUUAUCCAUGGGCAUGAAAUUUUGGAAAUUUUGUGAAAACUUUGUUUUUUUAAUGAAAUGCUAAUUAAACAUAGAGUAUAAUAGUAAAA